GGGCGGGUAGCUCAGUUGGAUAGAGCGUUGGCCUCCGGAGCCAAAGGUCGUGGGUUCGAAUCCCGUCUCGCCUACCA
rnacentral:tRNA from 1 species